UCCAGACUCCUACGGGAGGCAGCAGUGGGGGAUAUUGCACAAUGGGGGGAACCCGGAUGCAGCGACGCCGCGUGGGUGAAGGAGCGUUUCGGCGCGUAAAGCCCUAUCGGCAGGGAAGAAGGAGGACGGUACCUGACUAAGAAGCCCCGGCUAACUACGUGCCAGCAGCCGCGGUAAUACGUAGGGGGCAAGCGUUAUCCGGAUUUACUGGGUGUAAAGGGGGCGCAGACGGCAGCGCAAGCCAGGAGUGAAAGCCCGGGGCCCAACCCCGGGACUGCUCUUGGAACUGCGCGGCUGGAGUGCAGGAGGGGCAGGCGGAAUUCCUGGUGUAGCGGUGAAAUGCGUAGAUAUCAGGAGGAACACCGGUGGCGAAGGCGGCCUGCUGGACUGCGACUGACGUUGAGGCCCGAAAGCGUGGGGAGCAAACAGGAUUAGAUACCCGAGUAGAU
rnacentral:rRNA from 1 species